rnacentral:rRNA from 1 species
CAAACGCUUGGGGCGUGCUUACCACAUUGCAAGUCGAACCGAACCCUUCGGGUUAGUGGCGGACGGGUGAGUAACGCUGAGAAUCUUGCCCUCAGGAUGGGGAUAACAGCUGGAAACGGCUGCUAAUACCCCAUAUGCCGCGAGGUGAAAUGAAUUUCGCCUGAGGAUGAGCUCGCGUCUGAUUAGCUAGUUGGUGUAGGUAAUGGCUCACCAAGGGCAUCGAUCAGUAGCUGGUCUGAGAGGAUGAUCAGCCACAACUGGGACUGAGACACGGCCCAGACUCCUACGGGAGGCAGCAGUGGGGAAUUUUCCGCAAUGGGCGAAAGCCUGACGGAGCAACGCCGCGUGAGGGAUGAAGGCCUCUGGGCUGUAAAACUCUUUUAUCAAGGAAGAAGAUCUGACGGUAACCUUGAUGAAAUAAGCCACGGCUAAUUCCGUGCCAGCAGCCGCGGUAAUACGGGAGUGGCAAGCGUUAUCCGGAAUUAUUGGGCGUAAAGCGUCCGCAGGCGGCCCUUCAAGUCUGCUGUUAAAAAGUGGAGCUUAACUCCAUCAUGGCAGUGGAAACUGUUGGGCUUGAGUGUGGUAGGGGCAGAGGGAAUUCCCGGU